UAAAGGCGUGUCUUUCCCUUCCCUUUGCAUACUUUGAAUUUCGGCGGAAGAAACACAAAACACACAGACACUCACUCUCAGUAGGAAGAGAAAUGGAGGAAGAUCAGCGUGGAAAUUAUUGUGACGAAGAAGAAAAGGAGCAUUCAAAUAAGAGGAAGAAUAAUAAAAGAGGAAAGGCAUUGAGUAUUGAAGAUGAAAAGAAUAAUAAUAGUGAUGAUGUAUGUUCGUUAAGUCCGACGAUAUCAACGGUGGGUAUGAAGUUUGAUUUGGCAAACGAUUUCAUGUCCAAAGAAUUUGUUGAGUUUCUUUACAAAAAAGGAAUUGAUGUAAAAUUGAUGGAUAGUAAAAAGGUGAAAGAUUUGAAAAAGAAAUAUGGGGAAGUGCAAAUUUGUAGAAGCCAAUUUGAAUUCAAGUAUGCCAGCCUCUUUAUCAAGUUGGAAAACCUCAAGCUUCAACAAUUUCAAAGGGCUUUGCAAAAAUUCUCUUAACACACAUUCACAUUUUAUCUCUUUUCUUUAUCCCCUUCAUGUAUUUGAUUGUUAUUUGAGUAUCUGAAUUAUUAGAAAUCCAUCUAUUUUGGCAUCCACUAUUACAAUAUUUCUACUAGAAAUUACAAAACAAGCAACUUAUUCAUUGAAAUAUAUCGUUGCUUUGUACCAA